GUGCUCGCUUUUGGCAGCACAUAUACUAAAAUUGGAAUGACAGAGAGAAGAUUAGCAUGGCCCUGUGCAAGGAUGACACGCAAAUUAGUGAAGUGUUUCAUGCUUUU
ensembl:snRNA U6 U6 spliceosomal RNA